CUGUUAAAAUACAAAGAUACUUAAAUCCUUAUAUCCCUGUUAGAUUUGAGUCCCUCUUCUGUUUUGAGCAUAGAAUCAGAAUUGAUACAUUGUUCCCCUGUAGAAGCCACUCCAGUAGGCCAUGUAUGCAAGCAAUUAUGGUGGCCCUUUAAGAAAGCUUCAGAGUCUCUUUAUCCAAAGGGGUACCCUAUGUGGCAGGCACCAUUGUUGCUACGACAUGCAUAUUCGGGUCAGCUGGCUAGUUUGAGCACAGGGAGGAAGUUAAAGCAUUUGGACACACAUUUAACAGACAUAAUUAAU